UUGCUACUUGGAGAUCCGCAUGCAGUGCGUUGUUGCUCACAUACCGGGGAGCAUUUGUCAUUGCUCUGAGAGCUUUGUUUUGGAUCGUCUGGAGCUUGGCCAUUUGCAUGCUUGAAGUCAGUGGUCCCCAGACUGGCAUGGCAUACUGCCAUAUUGGGGCAAUCAGCUGCUUAUAGAGGAGGACCUUUGGAGGUAUGGCAUGACGGAUUUUUUGGCCAGAAGUUGCCCGGCUAACCUUGGAGCUGGAGUGUGUUGCUGCACAGACCAUGAUAAUGCAUCAGCCAGGAGC